UGUACUUAACUAUAUCACUGUCAAUCGUGUUAUUACACACUUGUAUAAAGGAUACAACUGGAGUAUGUGACGCUGGCUGGUUCGGCUCUAGGUGUCAGUUUAAAUGUCGCUGUGUCAACAACCAAUGUGAUGUUGACGGAAAGUGUACAGGAGGGUCUAUGUGUGACAGGGGCUGGUUUGGUCAUCUAUGUCAAUACGGUGAUCUCGCUACUGUACAGACAGGAACCACAGUGUCAAACAAUACAUUAACAGAUGGCGAUGACUUGACGUGUGCAAGUGUUAAGACAUUUACUGUGUCGUGGGAGAUAGCUUAUUAUGUCUCGUGGCUUAGAGUUGUUUUCGAUA